AUGGGGUGGUCGUCGACGUCGGCGCCGGCGCCGGCGGUGCUGCUGCUGUGGCUGCUCGCCCUAGCAUUCAGGGCGGACGCGCUGGCGGCCAACUGGGGCACGCGCGCGCUGCACCCGCUCCCCGGCGACGUCACCGUGCAGCUGCUCAAGGACAACGGCUUCGACAAGGUGAAGCUCUUCGAGGCCGACCCGGCCGCGCUCAAGGCGCUGGGCCACUCCGGCAUCCAGGUCAUGCUCGGCCUCCCCAACGACCUGCUCGCCACCGUCGCCCGGGACGUCGCCGCCGCCGAGCAGUGGGUGCAGCACAACGUCUCCCACUACGUCUCCGACUACGGCGUCGACAUCCGGUUCGUGGCCGUGGGCAACGAGCCGUUCCUCAAGUCGUACAAGGGCCAGUUCGAGGCGGCCACGCUCCCGGCUGUGCGCAACGUGCAGGCGGCGCUCGUCAAGGCCGGCCUGGCGCGCCAGGUGCGCGUCACCGUGCCGCUCAACGCCGACGUCUACGAGUCGCUCGACGGCCGUCCCUCCUCCGGCGACUUCCGCGCCGACAUCACGGGCCUCAUGACCAGCCUCGUCCGCUUCCUGCUCGACAGCGGCGGGGUGCUCGCCAUCAACAUCUACCCGUUCCUCUCCAUGGACGCCGACGCCAACUUCCCGCGCGACUACGCCUUCUUCCCUGCCCCCGGCGCGCCGCCCUCCCAGGCCAGCGUGCAGGACGGCAACGUGCUCUACACCAACGUCUUCGACGCCAACUACGACACCCUCGUCGCCGCGCUCGAGAAGCACGGCCUCGGGAACAUCACCGUCGUGGUGGGCGAGAUCGGCUGGCCCACCGACGGCGACGCCAACGCCAACGUGGCCGACGCGCGCAAGUUCAACCAGGGCCUCUUCGACCGCAUCGUCGCCGGCAAGGGCACCCCGCGCAGGCCCCAGAUGCCCGACGUCUACGUCUUCGCGCUGCUAGACGAGGACGCCAAGAGCGUCGACCCCGGCAACUUCGAGCGCCACUGGGGCGUCUUCAACUACGACGGCUCGCCCAAGUACGCGCUCCGCCUCGCCGGCGGAAAGGGCAUCGUGCCGGCCAAGGGCGUCAGGUACCUCUCCAAGCAGUGGUGCGUGCUCCGCCCCGACGCCAGCCCCACCGACCCGGCUAUCGUCGGCGCCGUCGGGUACGCGUGCCAGUACGCCGACUGCACCAGCCUCAGCCCCGGCUCCUCCUGCGGCGGCCUCGACGUUAGGGGCAACGUCUCCUACGCCUUCAACCAGUUCUUCCAGUCCGCCAGCCAGCAGAAGGGCUCCUGCGGCUUCAACAACCUCUCCGUGGUCACCACCACCGACCCGUCGCAGGGCACCUGCCGCUUCAAGAUCAUGAUCGACACCGGCCGGCACGACCUCACCCACCAGGACUCCGGCGCAGCCAGGGCCGCCGCCGCGUGGGGCGCCGUCGUUGCCGUGCUCGCAUUGCUCGCCAUUGUGGCACUCUGA
rnacentral:rRNA from 1 species